rnacentral:lncRNA from 1 species
UUAGAGAGUAUUAGGAUUCAGCUUCAGUCUAGGUUCUCUACAUCUAUUGAGCUUGCAUUCGUACAAUCCAUUGCUUUUCAUCCUCCUACUUUUUCAUCUCAGACCAGACCCUUCGAUCGAGGACGAGGCUGAUCCUGUGUUAUCUAUCUUGAUUCCAUGCUUGAUGCCCAGUCUCUCUGACUUUAUCAUUUUGUAUUAGAUUACUUAGUUAUAUUUUGU